CUUUCGCCUCCCAUGUCCUUCUGCUCUCCUUUCUUCACUCUGCUUCAGUUCCUCCUUGUCCCCUGCACCCUCUCCCUCCCUUUCCUUUCUCUUGUUCUUUCUCCUUCUCUUCCUCUUCUUCUCCACACUCCCUCCUUCUCUUAUUCUCUCACUCUCCUUCCUCCUGUCCUCUUCCCUCCCAUUUUUCUCCCUCCCUCCCUCUCCGAAGGUUUGCUUCUGCAGAGCACUGUCCACCGGAGGAUCUUAAACCUCAAUGCACAGUGUGGGCCAGGUGAGACCUAGGGCCAGAUCCUAACCUGGGAUAGUUUCACCAACGUCACCAGAGCUCUGCUGAUUUACAUCUGCUUCCCGGCUUAAGCCAGUGCCGCUUCCAUCGAUGGAGACUCACCUCCUCACACUGUAUCGGAUGAAGAAAAGAUUGCUGUAAAAAUGGGGAUGAGGAAACGUAGUCACCUUUACGGAAUCCUUUGAGUUCUAUGAAAUAGGAUGUUGGAAGAGGGGUGUCGUAAGGAUAGAUCCAUUAAAGACUGGGAGCUGUGAAGAUAUGACAGUAAUGAAGCCUGUUCCCCUUCAGAACUAAGAACAUAAGAACAUAAGAACGACCACACUGGGUCAGACCAAAGGUCCAUCAAGCCCAGUCUCCUGUCCUCUGACAGUGGCCAAUGGCAGGUGCCCCAAAGGCACUAGGUACUGCAGAGUCAGCUGUAUUGUGAAGUCAAGGAAACAAGGUUCACACUAUCGCAGCUGGGCACUCACUUCACUUCACUUCGUUCUUAUAUCUCACUGACUGACUGGCGACGCCCCGCCUCUUGGAUACCUGCGAGGGCCUGGCUGACAACACGCUAAGAGAGUCGAGGAAAAUGUCAUUCUCGGCAAGUCUGGAAGGUUCCAUGAGAUUCCACAGAGAUCCAGAACAUUCUAGGAGCAGAGCCUCCCUUCCGCUCCGAUUGUGUCCCCACCGGGCUACCUCAUCCACUGUCUGAAGUCUUCCAUCAUGUUCUAUUCCCGGCAUAAUCCUUAAGACAACAAAGCAUUUGAUCUCUCUCCUUUGGGACGGCCAAGGGGAUAAAAGGCAGGUCUCCUUGGCACAUGCGGUGGAAAAGAUCUCCUGCCAGGAAGUCAGAUUUAGAAGAUCACAGAGGUCCUUCAAAUCUAUGAAAAACCCAAA